rnacentral:rRNA from 1 species
CAGUCGCCACGGUAAUACGCAGGGGGCUAGCGUUGCUCGGAAUUACUGGGCGUAAAGGGAGCGUAGGCGGGUCGUUUAGUCAGAGGUGAAAUCCCGGGGCUCAACCUCGGAGCUGCCUUUGAUACUGGCGACCUUGAGUAUGGGAGAGGUAAGCGGAACUCCGAGUGUAGAGGUGAAAUUCGUAGAUAUUCGGAAGAACACCAGUGGCGAAGGCGGCUUACUGGCCCAUUACUGACGCUGAGGCUCGAAAGCGUGGGGAGCAAACAGGAUUAGAUACCCCCGUAGUCCCUGUCUCUUAUAC